ACCUAACUGACGAGUCUCAAAUAGGACGAAACGCGUGUCCUGGAU
rfam:Schistosoma curassoni strain Dakar, Senegal genome assembly, scaffold: SCTD_scaffold0000017